UGCUCAAGCACACAUUCGUUCUGACUGUCUGAUCAGACUAACAGCCUCACCUGUCAUUCCUGUCAAUCAGACACGCAGUGUCAACCACUGAACUAAAGAUGCGUGAGGGAGGGCUGGGCCAACUCACUCACAGUCACACACUUAGCAGCCGAGGAGAGAGAGGAAGGACAGCUGUGACAGCUUUGAAGACAACAGCUGGAAAAUGAGUAGGAAGCACAGUAGCAUUUGGAUGCAUUUUAAUAAUGUUGACAGUGUUAGAGCAUAGUGUAGAAUUUGCCAAAACAAAAUCUCAUAUAAAGCCGGCUCUACGCACAACCUACACCGGCAUAUGCGAACUGUGCACCCAACUGUGAAGCUAGCUGUAGCGGAGUUUCGAGAAACUAGCGGGCCUGCUAGUGGUGGAGCCAGCACCUUCACACGUGGAGAUGUAUCCACCCAGUCAAGUAGGCCUACUCUGCGUCCAACAGCAGCGCAGUCUUCUAUGGACCAGUUUAUGCCAAAGUCUAUGUCUGUAGCAACACAAGGCCAAAUUGAUAUUGCAUUGGCUAAAAUGAUUGCCACCGAUUUCCAGCCAUUUUUGAUCAUGGAGGACAGAGGUUUUAGAAAUUAUAGCAAUAGUCUAAAUCCAAUGUACACAAUUCCAAGCAGGAAACCCCUUUCAAAAUCACUUAUUCUACAACUGUAUGAGAGCACACAGGCUUCAGUACGGGAAAGAGUCCAAAAAGCUACUGCAGUUUGCCUUACCACUCACUGCUGGACAUCAAGGGUAACCACUUCUUACAUGUCAGUUACAUGUCACUUUAUUGAAGAUUUUUUGAUGUCUAGCGGUCUUCUGGACUGCUUUGAGUUCAGCGACAGACACACCUCACAGAACUUGGCAGAGGAACUGUUGAGAGUGGCCAGAGAAUGGUAAGUAGAUGGAAAAGUGGUCUGUUGUGUUAGCGACAAUGCAUCUAACAUAACCAAAGCCAUGAACAUUUUUAAAUGGACCCAUCAUCCAUGUCUUGCCCACACAAUCAACCUGAUUGUAAGAGAUGCUCUGAAGCUGAUGAAGCCCACUGUGGACAAAGUGAAAGCAGCUGUGGAAUACUUCCACAGGAGCACAUUAGGUGCUGAAAACUAAAGUCUACACAACGCCAGAUGGGGAUGCCUGAUGCCAUCAUCUCUAGCCUGGUCAUUGUCAAUGCACCUGUUGAUGCUCUGACCCAAGAGGAAUGGGAGGUGGUGGAGGAGGUGUGCAGAGUCCUGGAACCCUUUGAGCAGGUCACUGUGGAGAUCAGUGGAGAGAGGUACAGUAAGCAGCUAUUACUACAUCAUUAUAUAUGUAUAUGAGCAGUAGAUGAGAAUGUAGUAUCAGUAGACAAAACAUGAACCUGAACUAAUAAGUUACUGUUCUCUCCUUUCAGCUAUGUGACAGCCUCAGAAAUUAUGUUCCUGUGUAAGGGUCUGCAGCGAAUCACAGCCAGCCGCCAGAGAGAAGAAAAUGUAACCACAGGACAUGUGACAGACUUGAUGGACACCCUGUGUUCAUCAAUGGACAGAAUGGAAUAUAAUCACGUGCUAUCAGAAACCGCUGCACUUCACCACAGGUUUAAGAAGUUAGCCUUCAGUGAUGCCAGAGUGAGUGAUGAGGCUCUUCAAAGAAUAACCUCAGCAGCAGGGAGGGACAGCCCCAGCAGUCAGCUGGCUCAGGCACCAGGGCAACAGUAAGAAGAGGGAGCAGAUUGAGCAGAAGCACGAGCAGUAGUGCCACAAACGUCUGACGAGAGAGCAACUGGGGAUGCAGCACGAAGGAAUUCCUCAGCAGAUGCCAUAAUGGAGGUCCGAUCCUAUUUGGAGGAGCCCCUCCUCUGAGCUGGUGGGAGAACAAGGCCUCUGUCUACCCACAGCUUACUAAAGUCAUGACAGGGAGACUCUGCAUAGUGGCCACAUCCGUUCCCUCUGAAAGGGUCUUCUCAAAAAUGGGAAAAAUAAUUACUGAGAGAAGGAACCGCAUCAGCCCCUCGAAAGUGAGGCAGCUUGCAUUUCUGAAUGCAAAUCUCUCAUAAAAGCAAAAUAUGGUCAGCAUUGCUGUGUGCUGCUGGUUAUAACAUGGCAAUAAAGAAGAGAGAGAGAAAAGAGGGACCAGUUUAAUGUUUUAAGUGGGAUGCUGCAGUUUUGCACAUUGUUAUUUAUUUUUCUUUGAUAUGGUGCAAUAUUCUAUUAUUAUGUUAUUCAGAUUGUAUUCGUUUGGAAUUGUUACAUUUAUAUGCAUUUUGUUAAUAUACAUUAAAAAGUUAUACUUUAAAUGUUUAAUAGCAUUCUUUUUUUAAACAAAUCAAAUCAAGCUAACCCAAAUUGAAUUUAAUUAAUGUCUUAAUUCUUCUCUAGGCACUCCCUUCCCAAACCUGAAGCCCCGUCCCCAGCGGAAAAGACCAGGAAGAAGAUUUGGCUUAAGCUCGCUGGGUGACAGGUGAGUCUUUCCAUCAAGCUGUUCCAGUCCUGGAGUGGCACGCUGGAACUUCCAGAGGCUUGUAGACCUGAACAGUGUAAUGUGGUCCAGAUCUGCCACCCCGAGCAGUUCAGCUGCAGUCACAGUAGUCCUCUGCUGUGGUAUUUAAUUUACCGGCUGCACCAGAUCCUACUACACUGGCCGUGAAGGGAGAAACUUUUGAGGAUUCCCAGAUGGAUACAGAUCUGCCAUGCACUCCACCACUCCCCGACAGCCUCACCCAGAAGUGCAUACACUGGGCCUAUCAAGACUGACAAAGCAGAGAUGGGUGGCUGACAAGGAAAAAUAAACGCAACAUACACACACACA